GGGGUCGUGGCUUAGCGGUAGAGUGCUUGCCUAGCAUGCGUGAGGCACUGGGUUCAAUCCUCAGCACCACUA
rfam:Ictidomys tridecemlineatus contig121414, whole genome shotgun sequence.